rnacentral:Y_RNA from 1 species
GGUUGGUCCAAGUGCAGUGGUGUUUACAACUAAUUGAUCACAACCAGUUACAGAUUCCUUUGUUCCUUUUCCAUUCCCACUGCUUCACUUGACCAGCCACGA